rnacentral:rRNA from 1 species
CCUACGGGAGGCAGCAGUGAGGAAUAUUGGUCAAUGGGCGGAAGCCUGAACCAGCCAAGUAGCGUGCAGGAUGACGGCCCUACGGGUUGUAAACUGCUUUUAUACGGGAAUAACGCGCCUUACGUGUAGGGCUUUGCAUGUACCUUAUGAAUAAGGACCGGCUAAUUCCGUGCCAGCAGCCGCGGUAAUACGGAAGGUCCGGGCGUUUUCCGGAUUUAUUGGGGUUAAAGGGAGCGUAGGGUGCAUGUCAAGCGUGCUGUGAAAUGUCCGGGCUCAACCCGGGGCUUGCAGCGCGAACUGGCGUGCUUGAGUGCGCGGAAGGCAGGCGGAAUUCGUGGUGUAGCGGUGAAAUGCGUAGAUAUGACGAAGAACACCGAUGGCGAAGGCAGCUUGCUGGAGCGGAACUGACGCUGAGGCUCGAAAGCGUGGGUAUCGAACAGGAUUAGAUACCCCAGUAGUC